UAAUCUUUAUUUCGAUAUGUGUUGGUUGAGUUCAUCAGAUAAUGAUAUUUAUUAUAUGUGAUGAUUGCGAAUUGGGAAAUGUGGCUUGUAGAACAUGCCGCCUGAUGGGUUACAUCAGGACCGCGUGCGCAUCGGUAAUGAUCAUGGACAUGUAAUAAGAUUUUUAUGGGUUUGCCCUGGUCGAGCAUGGCUCUCUGGGCUGAUUUGAGUAAAUUGCCGGAGGUAAGGUCCCUGGUCGAGCAUUGCUCUCUGGGCGCCGGUAUACUUGGAUAUUUAAGUGACCAGACUGGAGGUAAGGUCCCUGGUCGAGCAUUGCUCUCUGGGCGCCAGUCUUAUUGGAUUAAGAGAGCCAAAAUGGCUACUAGAUUUUGGGGUUUAGGGUUCUACUGAGCCACUCGUCCCGUAAAAGUAAAAAUAUAUUUUUAUUUGUUCAUUUAUUUAUUUAUUAUGGUAUGAUUAUAAUAUGGAUUGUAUUAUGUGUAUGGUUUGAUAUACUGAUUUGAACAAUCUAUGUUUUCUGAGAAGAAUGCAAUAGUUCCCAGAUUAUUUGAUUUUAACUCACUCUCGAGACUGAC
rnacentral:lncRNA from 1 species